CUCUACCCCCAAACCACACAUCUCCAGCCCUUUUAAAUUUAUUUGGAGACAGAGUCUUGCUAGGUUGCCCAGGCUAGACUCAAACUUGUUGUCGCCCUGCCUCCAUCUCCCUAGUAGCUGGGUUGUAGGCGUGCGCCAGCAUGCCCUUCUCUUCCUGCUUUUUCCUCCCCUCUCCUCAUCAGUCUCUUUUCUCUUGCUCUCUGAGCCCCUCCUCUUCUGUCUUCACAUCCCCACCAUCCCACCGCUGCCCUCCUCCUUUCCGGCCACUCCCCUGGAUCCCCCAGAUGCUCUGUUCCUCCACUAUGCCUGUCAACAACCUCCCAAUUUGUUCUCUGGCCACUGCUGUUUUACCCCACAUACAUCACAUCAGGAUGAGACCUGUUAGAACUUGUUGGUGAGAAGUCUGAGAUCUGAUUUGACUGGAACCCUGUUCAGGGCAGAUGGGAAGCAAAUGCCGGCUACAGAGCGAGGAGGACUCCAGCCCAGGUUUCCGCCCAUUUUGUAAAGUCAUCCUUCUGUCCUUCCCCGCUCUGCAUAGUUGCCCUUGCCCAGGCAAGGCUCCUUCCUAUCCAUGGGGAGAGCAUUUCUUCAUCUCCCUCUGUCCCUUGAACAGUAGACAAAUACACAAGCUAUAGCUCAGCUCAGCCCACAGGCCAUCCUGAUUUCUGCCCCUUCUCAGGGACAUAUUCUGCAAGGUCACUUCUUCUAUUAUAUACCCCAAAUGACUCCAACCUUUCCUGAAUCUAAGUUGAAGCCAACUUCAGACCUCACCUGCCUUCCCAGAGAGUGUCCCUCCCAGCCCCAUCCUCCACUAAGUUCUUCCCCCACCAUUGCAGCAUGUGUGGGCAUCGUCCUGCUCCUGGGUACAAGCACAGAUGGAAGCACAGGUAAGGAUACCUGGGAGUGAGGGGGCAGGAGGCCUCUCCAGGGAUGUGAGCUUGCCUGGGACCACAACUUGGUGAUAACCAUCUUGUUUCCUGGGGAGGAGCACAAACUCUGGCCCUUUAAUGCAUCCCCAUUUGGUCAGGACUGUGGCUGUGCCAGCGGGUGCCCAGGUGUGGGGACCAUAUCUACAAUCCCUUGGAGCAGUGCUGUGACGAUGACGCCGUCCUGCCCCUGAAUCAGACAAGGCGCUGCGGCCCCAACUGCACAUACUGGCCUUGCUUUGAGCUCUGCUGUCCUCAGUCCUUUGGUCCCCACAAGAAGUUUGUUGUGAGGUUGAAGAUUCAUGGUGAGAAGUCUUGGUGUCCUACAUCCCUCACCUCCAGAAUCUGCAGGUUGUAAAGACCUGCCUUCAUCAAGCUGAUCUGGUCAACCACUCCAUCCUUUGGACAUUUCCUCCUGGGAGCUUGGGAACACGUGGACAGGACACAUUCUAGGACGUAAGAGGAAUGGGGGGCAUGGUUCUGUGAACAGCAUUAAAACAACAUGUCUUACAAGUG